GGAGUCUAGCAUGUGCGCGAGUCAUUGGGACUAGCGAAACCUAAAGGCGAAAUGAAAGUGAAAGUCGACCUCGCGUCGACCCAGGGAGGAUGGGUCGCGUCACGGCGCGACCCCGCACUCCCGGGGCGUCUCGUUCUCAUUGCGAGAAGAGGCGCACCAAGAGCGUACACGCUGGGACCCGAAAGAUGGUGAACUAUGCCUGGUCAGGACGAAGUCAGGGGAAACCCUGAUGGAGGUCCGAAGCGAUUCUGACGUGCAAAUCGAUCGUCGGAACUGGGUAUAGGGGCGAAAGACUAAUCGAACCAUCUAGUAGCUGGUUCCCUCCGAAGUUUCCCUCAGGAUAGCUGGCGCUCGCUUUUGCGAGUCUCAUCUGGUAAAGCGAAUGAUUAGAGGCAUUGGGGUCGAAACGGCCUCAACCUAUUCUCAAACUUUAAAUGGGUGAGAUCUCCGGCUUGCUUAAAACGUGAAGCCGCGAGAUCGGAUCAGAGUGCCAAGUGGGCCAUUUUUGGUAAGCAGAACUGGCGCUGUGGGAUGAACCAAACGCAGAGUUAAAGCUCCAAAAUCAACGCUUAUGGGAUACCAUGAAAGGCGUUGGUAACUUAAGACAGCAGGACGGUGGCCAUGGAA
rnacentral:rRNA from 1 species